CUGGCUCAGGACGAACGCUGGCGGCGUGCUUAACACAUGCAAGUCGAACGAUGAAGCCCUUUCGGGGGUGGAUUAGUGGCGAACGG
rnacentral:rRNA from 1 species